rnacentral:lncRNA from 1 species
AGAUAUACAAACAUAUGGUCACAUCUAUUUGGUGUAUAGGAAAAGCAAGUUUAAGAGAGCAUCUCCAAGGGACUAAUAUGCAAGAGGACUCCAGCCCAGUAAUGCCCCAUUCCCCACUUAGGGGUGGGCAUGUGUUGACUUCACUGCAGCUCCAAGGAAUCUCUGGCCAAUCCAAUCACUGGGCACAGGUCUGGACCACUUAGUCACAUGGCUUCACUUCCUCCAUUUAUGUUUCCACCAUCCACACUCCAGCCAAUGGCUUCCCACCCUUCAUAGUC